rnacentral:misc_RNA from 1 species
AAAAAAAAAAAAAAAAAAAAAAACAUAAAUUCAUAUUUCAUGAACAAGAUCAAACAUAAUAAGGACAUAAUUUAAAGCAAACAAUUUAAGGCAAAUCCCUGGCACCUCUUGACUUAAAUUUUUUUUUUUUUUUGGUGCCCAAAAAAAAAUCAAAAGCCAAUCGAACAAAAGGAGACCAAUAAUUCUGAUGUUACAACAUG